rnacentral:lncRNA from 1 species
UUGCAUGCCCUGCCACUUGUGGCAUUGUCAGAAGAUCUACUUGUAAAUAAAUGUAACUACUGACAGUAAAUGAACAGAAAUAUACUAACAAAACAUGAUAAGAUUCUUAAUCAUAUAGUUUGUAAAGAUGAAGAUAGGAUCAGGAAGCAAUCAUCAUGAUAUAUGUAUCUUAACUUUACAGAAGUUCUACAGAAGGUAAUAAAUACAAGUUGACAAUAUAAAUGUGGUCAAGACAGAGUAUAUCAAUCUAAUGUGACGUAUCUGUAACGAAAAAAGAGAAUGAGUUGAACAAAAGAUGAAAUAGAAGCAUUUAUGCCUCCAUGAUGAAGCUGCAUCAAUGAAUAAAGUAAAAGCAUCUAUUAGUCUUGCUUAAAUCCAAUUUCACAAAUGUAGCCUUCCACCAAGAACAGGAUAUUCUCCUACUACCAUUAGGAUUACAUAAUACCUCUCCUCGACUGUCUUCCUACUUUUAUCAUUCAUUGACUAAUUUCAUAUUUUAUAAAAUAAUGGCCAUUGGUUAGAAAUCCCACAAUAGAAG